rnacentral:lncRNA from 1 species
CGAGAAGAUAAUGAAGACAAAUAAAAAUAGCAACAUAUAAGGGAUUUAUCUAGGUUAAUCAAUUAAAGUGUACAAAUAAAUAUAAAUAAACAAGUUAAAAUAGAAACUAAAGAGAAAAAGAGUUAAGAUUGGGCCCUUUUCAAAUCUGGUCAACUUUUGGGCCUAUUUUUCUUGGGACUUUUGGCCCAUUUCUGCAGUGUAUACCCAGCUGUAUACUUACUGUAUAUCAGUUUGCUGCUGCUGCAUUUUGUGUAUAUACGGCGUAUAUAUGAACGUAUUUGAGCCACAUACACACAGCUUUAAUCCUCAACCUGUAUACGUAGCUUUCCUUUCAUUUUCCCUCCUUUAAAAACCUGUUUGCUUGUGUAUAUCCGAUGUAUACAGCUUUGUGUGAGUACACUUUCUUCAUGUGUUAGUCCAUUUUGGACUUGGUACGAGUCUUGACUCAAUGCGAGUUGGGUUUAACCCAACGGAAUGAGAGGGAAGAGAGAUCAAGGGACUCGACGGAGGAGUUCACGCAUAUAAAAAGGGAUAAAGAUUAGUAUCAAGAACUAGAUCAAGUAUUAAAGCACCACAUUCAUAACUCCAACGAAACAUUCCAUAAUCACAAACUCAUUCUUCAUGAAAUCGGGGGAUUCAAUUGACACACAAUAGCAUGGACACAGAUUAACAUUUACACCAAGAAUCUCAAAAAAGAGUUAAAUAAAGGGUAAUGAUCGAUAUAUCUACCGACACAUACUAUACCCACUUCAUAGGCAACCUAAUGAUAUUUUUUAUUUUUUAUUUUAUUUUUUUUAGAUUUGAAACCCAGCAAGAUCAUUCAUAGCAGGCACAUGAAUUUCAAGUGUACAAACAAUACUAUUUUGAAAGUAGACACACGCAAAAAGAAGAGAAAGUUGCAUAGGACCCCAUCUUGCAAAAUUCAAAAUUUCACCAUUUUUGAAACAGAAGUUAUACUUUCCAUGACUUUGCAAGUACUGGAAAACGCAUAUUUUUAAAAAAAAAUAAGAAACACUAAAAUAACCAUACACCACCCCCUUUGACUGGUUGCAUACCCACAAUACAAACAUCUUCACAUCAUUGACUGGUUGCAUACCCACAACACAAACAUCUUCACAUCAUUGACUCAGAAAAGGUAAAUCUAUCCUUUUUUACCAAGAUUUCUGGUUAAUCAUACCCCUAAGUCCAUUAAAAAGUUAACUCUUUUAUUGAUUAGUCCACUUAUGACAUGGGGUUUUCUGAUUCUUGUAAGUACAACAAUACUAUAACACAGACGAAUUUCAACUAGCCAUCAAUCACGAAAUAACAAGUAGCAGAUAAUCAAGAAAAGCUUUAAAAUCAGCAAUAGAGCCAACAAAAACUCAACUGACGUAUUUCAACAAGAUAAAGGUUUUACCUUUUUAGGUGCAGGAACUGGGACGAUGAAUCGAUCAAAGACCUACCACCACUGAAAUUUCGUCAACCCGUCACAACUGAAUUUUUUGAACAUUCUCCUUGAGAAUUUUGGUUACGUGAGGUUAAAGGCGAGCACCUUCAGAACCCCCAAUUUUUUUUUUCCUAAAAUCCUCCCUCAAUAUCUAUUUAUAGGAGAAGAUACUGAUUUUUCAUCUUUAAAAGUAGAGAAACAUAUCCCUAAAAUUCGGAUUUGAAUUGACAUCUUCUGAUUUGGAUUGAAUUUUGGGUUUGAAAACAGAUAAUCUUGAGCAAAAGGUCAACAACGAUGGCUCUAGGUGUGCAAAAUUGCAGAGACAAGAUGGAGAGAAAGGUUUUUCGUGAUUUAGGGAGUUUGUCUUUGGUAUUAGCAGUUGUACGUGUUGACUGAAGCUGGACGGGUUCGAGUCGCGACUGAUGGGCGCUGUUCGGCUGGCUGAAAUAGGGUUGAAGCCGGGUCGAUUUUGGGUACAGGUUUGGUUGAAGUUUCGUUGUUGCUGGUAUCGUGUUUUGUUGUUUCAGUUAUUGUUGAUAUCGUUGGAUGUUUGGUUGUCGGUGAUUGCUAUGCUGUUGUCUUUUGAUAUUUUUGGAAACUGUUUGGGAAUUGGAUUUUGCCAUUUUAAUUGUUGAUGGAGUGAACAGGUGGGCCGGGUCAGCUGAAAUGGAGUGGGCUGGGGGCGGUUUAGGGAGCAAUUGGGGCCUGAUUUUGGUGUUGUUGUUGUUGGGCUAGUCUUGUGGCCCAAAUUUAAAAAUCAAAAAGGGGUAGAAACUUGGUCAUUUAUAAAAUGGCCAAAUUAGGCUAGAAUUUGAGUCAACUUUAUUUAAAUAUUAAUCAAAUUGGAUAUCAAUUGACUAAUUGCAUUGCAAUUGUGGUCAAUUUUAUUUCAAUUAUGAUCAAUUUUAAUAAAUUGACUAAGCUAAAUCAAGACUUGAAACAAAUUAACGACCGAUUCAAUCUCGAGUUUCUUAGUUUUAAAAGAUCAAACACAUAUUUCUCCAAAUAGAUUAUUUUUGAGAAAAAAUUAUAAUUGAAUCAAGAUCGCAACUUUUUGAAUUAAUUUUUCAAGUAUAAGUCAUGAUUAAAAUCUGAUAUUUCAUAAAAUAAAUAUUUUAACUAACAAAAUUAUAUGAUUUCGUAUAAUUGCCAAGAUAUGAAUCAUAAAAUCCUUUUGCAUUGUCAUAAAAAUUUCAUCAUCGCUCGAAUUUAUUUAUUUAUUACGUAUUUUAUUUACAUAACAUCCGUCUUUUUAUUUGUAAAGGCCUCAAAAAUCGACGGAGGAUUUCUUCAUCGGCCAGUAAUGUAGUAUUUUUUUAAAAAAAAUAUAAUGUCCAUUCAAGAUAAAUUAAAAUUUUCAAAAAGGAUUCAAAACAUUAAAGAAGAUUUCUAAUAUGUUAACUUCAAAUAGUGAAGACAAAAACAGUCAACAAAUAACAAUAGAAGUAUUAAAAUAAUACAAAGGCUAUGAUAACAUUAAUAUAAAAGUCAAAAUAAUUAAUGACCAAACGUGUAUAUUUAACUCAUGAAAGUAGUUAUUAUUUUAAGCCAAAUAAAAUAUAUAAUCAGUAGUCAUAUAAUGGGAAAAUAUCAACAGGCAACAAUAACGAAUAAUAAAUUAAACAUUAAGCUAAAUUAUGAUGGGUCAUCGGAGUAAAUUUCAAGCAAAAUCAUGAAAUAAAUUAAAAUAAUACAAAAGAUUGGCAAUAAAACACUGAUGAAAUAUAUUCUAAUCAGAACAAACACACACAAAUGAUAAUGAAACAAAGAGGAGGAAAGUUUCACCGAAGAUGAAGUGUUCCGGCUAGAUCCGAUAGUGCUAACAACGUGACAGAGGUGAGGAGGAGCGGGGGGCGGGGGGGGGGGGGGCAGGAAGAGAGGGAAGAAAGAGACGGGGGUCGCCGUGGUUGUGGCUGAAAACGCCGUCCGACCAGUAGUCAUCGCCGGCGAUGGAAUAUAGGUGAGGGAGAGAGAAGGGGAUUAAGAGGUAGAAAAUUGAGAGAGAGCGAGAGAGUGAAAGGAUCUGAUUUUAGUGUGUAUACGUUAGUGUGUGGAGUGUAUGUUUUGUAUUUAGAAA